rnacentral:rRNA from 1 species
CUGGUGUGGGCGCACGAAACUUGCGGAGGUUCUUCUUUAGUACGAGAGGAUUUAGAAGGACGUAGCUCUGGUGUUCCUGUUGUCGCGCUAGCGGCACGGCAGGGUAGCUAACUACGGAAAGGAUAAACGCUGAAAGCAUAUAAGCGUGAAGCCCUCUCCAAGAUCAGGUUUCGUAAGCACAAUGUGCGAGAGUCCCCUGGAAGACGACCAGGUUGAUAGGCCGGAUGUGUAAGCAUGGUAACAUGUUCAGCUAACCGGUACUAACGGACGAAUGCUUGGCCACAU